rnacentral:rRNA from 1 species
GACGAACGCUGGCGGCGUGCUUAACACAUGCAAGUCGAACGGAAAGGCCCUGCUUUUGUGGGGUGCUCGAGUGGCGAACGGGUGAGUAACACGUGAGUAACCUGCCCUUGACUUUGGGAUAACUUCAGGAAACUGGGGCUAAUACCGGAUAGGAGCUCCUGCUGCAUGGUGGGGGUUGGAAAGUUUCGGCGGUUGGGGAUGGACUCGCGGCUUAUCAGCUUGUUGGUGGGGUAGUGGCUUACCAAGGCUUUGACGGGUAGCCGGCCUGAGAGGGUGACCGGCCACAUUGGGACUGAGAUACGGACCAGACUCCUACGGGAGGCAGCAGUGGGGAAUAUUGCACAAUGGGCGGAAGCCUGAUGCAGCAACGCCGCGUGCGGGAUGACGGCCUUCGGGUUGUAAACCGCUUUCGCCUGUGACGAAGCGUGAGUGACGGUAAUGGGUAAAGAAGCACCAGCUAACUACGUG